rnacentral:rRNA from 1 species
UUAAUGAGAGUUUGAUCCUGGCUCAGGACGAACGCUGGCGGCGUGCCUAAUACAUGCAAGUAGAACGCUGAGGACUGGUGCUUGCACCGGUCCAAGGAGUUGCGAACGGGUGAGUAACGCGUAGGUAACCUACCUCAUAGCGGGGGAUAACUAUUGGAAACGAUAGCUAAUACCGCAUAAAAGUGUUUAACCCAUGUUAAACAUUUAAAAGGUGCAAUUGCAUCACUAUG